rnacentral:rRNA from 1 species
GAGUUUGAUCUUGGCUCAGAUUGAACGCUGGCGGCAUGCCUUACACAUGCAAGUCGAACGGCAGCACGGGAGCAAUCCUGGUGGCGAGUGGCGAACGGGUGAGUAAUACAUCGGAACGUGCCCAGUAGUGGGGGAUAACCCGACGAAAGCCGGACUAAUACCGCAUACGACCUACGGGUGAAAGCAGGGGAUCGCAAGACCUUGCGCUAUCGGAGCGGCCGAUGUCAGAUUAGCUUGUUGGCGGGGUAAAAGCCCACCAAGGCGACGAUCUGUAGCUGGUCUGAGAGGACGACCAGCCACACUGGGACUGAGACACGGCCCAGACUCCUACGGGAGGCAGCAGUGGGGAAUUUUGGACAAUGGGCGCAAGCCUGAUCCAGCCAUGCCGCGUGC